GUGGGGAAUCUUGGACAAUGGGGGCAACCCUGAUCCAGCGAUGCCGCGUGAAUGAAGAAGGCCUUAGGGUUGUAAAGUUCUUUCACCCGUGACGAUAAUGACGGUAGCGGGAGAAGAAGCCCCGGCUAACUCCGUGCCAGCAGCCGCGGUAAGACGGAGGGGGCUAGCGUUGUUCGGAAUGACUGGGCGUAAAGGGCGUGUAGGCUGUUGAUCAAGUCAAGCGUGAAAGCCUCGGGCUUAACCCGAGAAUGGCGUUUGAUACUGGUUGACUUGAGGGCGAGAGAGGAAAGUGGAAUUCCGAGUGUAGAGGUGAAAUUCGUAGAUAUUCGGAGGAACAUCAGAGGCGAAGGCGACUUUCUGGCUCGUAUCUGACGCUGAGGCGCGAAAGCGUGGGGAGCAAACAGGAUUAGAAACCCGUGUAGUCC
rnacentral:rRNA from 1 species